rnacentral:rRNA from 1 species
AUGUGGAUGGUCAGGGAUUUUGAAGCUGGUACUCUAGAUAUUUUCAGACUCAAUUUUGCCUUGAUUACUCUCAUCCCCAAAACUCCUUUGGCCAGGGAGAUGAAAAACUUUAGGCCUAUUAGCCUUAGUAACUGUGCUGUUAAGAUCUUUUCUAAAGCUAUGACUACUAGAGUUUCUCCUUUAUGUGAUAAACUAAUUUCCUCCAACCAGACUGCCUUCAUCAAAGGGAGCUUCAUUUUGGAAAGUGUUGUGAUGGCUCAUGAAGUGAUUCAUGAGGUUCACAGGUCUGGGAGUAGUGGCCUUAUUCUUAAGUUGGACUAUGAGAAAGCAUAUGAUAGGGUUAAUUGGGAUUUCAUUAAAGAGAUGAUCCUUUCUAGGGGCUUUGGGAUCAAGUGGGUUAACUGGGUCCUUAGUACCCUACAUCAAGGGACUUUUCAGGUCAGAAUCAAUGAAACUAAUGGGCCACAUUUUGUGGCUGGGAAGGGGCUAAAGCAGGGUGAUCCUCAUUCUCAUUUACUUUUUACUUUGGUUGUGGAUGUGUUUACCAAAAUGCUAUCCAAAGCUGCCAGAGCUGACCUAAUUGCUGGUCUCCUACCCCAGGUGAUUCCUGGGGGUGUCAUCAGCCUGCAGUAUGCUGAUGACACUAUCUUAUUUUUGCAAGACUCAAUGGCUUAUGCCAAGAACCUGAAAUGGAUUUUGACUUGCUUUGAAAGCCUUUCUGGUAUGAAAAUCAACUUUAAUAAAAUAUCUUGGAGUGCCUCUUCAUUGUAA